AAGUCGUAACAAGGUCUCCGUAGGUGAACCUGCGGAGGGAUCAUUACACAAUAUGAAGGCGGGCUGAAAUCUCUCGAGAGGACAGCCUUGCUGAAUUAUUCACCCGUGUCUUUUGCGUACUUCUUGUUUCCUUGGUGGGCUCGCCCACCACAAGGACAAACCAUAAACCUUUUGUAAUUGCAAUCAGCGUCAGUAACAAAAUAAUAAUUACAACUUUCAACAACGGAUCUCUUGGUUCUG
rnacentral:misc_RNA from 1 species